rnacentral:tRNA from 1 species
GCCUGGCUGGCUCAGUCGGUAGAGCAUAUGACUCUUGAACUUGGGGUCAUGAGUUCCAGCCCCAUGUUGGGCA